rnacentral:misc_RNA from 1 species
GAUGAAGAACGUAGCAAAAUGCGAUAAGUAAUGUGAAUUGCAGAAUUCAGUGAAUCAUCGAAUCUUUGAACGCACAUUGCGCCCGCUGGUAUUCCGGCGGGCAUGCCUGUUCGAGCGUCAUUGCAACCCUCAAGCCCCCGGGUUUGGUGUUGGGGAUCGGCUCUGCCCUUCUGGGCGGUGCCGCCCCCGAAAUACAUUGGCGGUCUCGCUGCAGCCUCCAUUGCGUAGUAGCUAACACCUCGCAACUGGAACGCGGCGCGGCCAUGCCGUAAAACCCCAACUUCUGAAUGUUGACCUCGGAUCAGGUAGGAAUACCCGCUGAACUUAAGCAUAUCAAUAAGCGGAGGA